AACUGUGCAAAGGUCGCAUAAUCAUUAGUCUUUUAAUUGAAGGCUGGAAUGAAUGGUUGAAUGAGAUAUUAACUGUUUCAUAUAAAUUAAUAAUAAAAUUUUAUUUUUUAGUUAAAAAGCUAAAAUUUAAUUAAAAGACGAGAAGACCCUAUAAAUCUUUACAUUUAAUUAUAUAAUUAUUAUAUUGAUUAUUUAAAUUUUUAUAGAAUUAAAUAUUUUAUUGGGGUGAUAUUAAAAUUUAAAUAACUUUUAAUUUAUAAAAUACAAAAAUUAUUGAAUUAUUGAUCCAUAAAUAAUGAUUAAGAAAUUAAGUUACUUUAGGGAUAACAGCGUAAUUUUUUUAGAGAGUUCAUA
rnacentral:rRNA from 1 species